UCCCUGGUGGCCUAAUGGUUAAGGAUCCAGCAUUAUCACUGCUGAGGUGUGGGCUCGAUCCCUACACAGGAAA
rnacentral:tRNA from 1 species